AGAUUGAACGCUGGCGGCAUGCCUUACACAUGCAAGUCGAACGGCAGCACGGGAGCAAUCCUGGUGGCGAGUGGCGAACGGGUGAGUAAUACAUCGGAACGUGCCCAAUCGUGGGGGAUAACGCAGCGAAAGCUGUGCUAAUACCGCAUAAGAUCUACGGAUGAAAGCAGGGGAUCGCAAGACCUUGCGCGAAUGGAGCGGCCGAUGGCAGAUUAGGUAGUUGGUGAGGUAAAGGCUCACCAAGCCUUCGAUCUGUAGCUGGUCUGAGAGGACGACCAGCCACACUGGGACUGAGACACGGCCCAGACUCCGUACGGGAGGCAGGCAGGUGGGGUAA
rnacentral:rRNA from 1 species